rnacentral:tRNA from 1 species
GUAAGCGUAGUUUAACUUAAAACAUUAGAUUGUGAUUCUAAAAAAAAAGACUACAAACCUUUCACUUACA